rnacentral:rRNA from 1 species
GACGAACGCUGGCGGCGUGCUUAACACAUGCAAGUCGAACGGAGUGGCGAACGGGUGAGUAACACGUGGGUGAUCUGCCUUGCACUUCGGGAUAAGCCUGGGAAACUGGGUCUAAUACCGGAUAGUUCAAGUUGAGCUCGCGGCCUAUCAGCUUGUUUGUGGGGUAAUGGCCUACCAAGGCGGCGAAGGGUAGCCGGACUGGGAGGGUGUACGGGCCCAGUGUGCCUGGGGUACGGGCCAGACUGCUACGGGAGGCAGGGGGGGUGAAUAUUGCACGAUGGGCGGAAGGCGGAUGCAGCGACGUCGCGUGGGGGAGGAAGGUCUUCGGGUUGUAAACGCCUUUCGACAGGGACGCGGUACCUGAAUAAGAAGCACCGGCUAACUACGUGCCAGCAGCCGCGGUAAUAC